UACAGAGGGUGCGAGCGUUGCUCGGAAUCACUGGGCGUAAAGGGUGCGUAGGCGGGUUCUUAAGUCAGAGGUGAAAUCCUGGAGCUCAACUCCAGAACUGCCUUUGAUACUGAGGAUCUUGAGUUCGGGAGAGGUGAGUGGAACUGCGAGUGUAGAGGUGAAAUUCGUAGAUAUUCGCAAGAACACCAGUGGCGAAGGCGGCUC
rnacentral:rRNA from 1 species